GGGAGCAACUCCGUUUGACAGACAAAUACACACAAUCAUUGUUUGGCUUUCCUCUCUUUUUUUCUCAGCCACAAUUUGUUUGUGUGUGUCCCUCUCUGUGUGUAUUGUUAUGUGUACUGUAUGUAUGUUGAUUCCUGACUGUCUAUUUGGGUCAUAACAUAAAAAGGAGGAUACAGUAAGUUCCCGUGCGGACUCGGAAAAUCCCAACAUUACCUCGAGAUGCAACAAACAAACUCUCACAUAGAGCAACAUUUGCACAUGAUGUUGGAAAUUCAAAAAUUCAUUUUGUAAUCCCUAUUUGUGUGUCGAGCAGUGUGUCCUUUCUCCACUUGUGCUUUUUCAGGGCCUGUUUUGCAACGUCGAGGAAUGACGUUACUUGUGAAAAACACAUCUGGGAUCACGGAGGCUUGCUCCAUAGCUACGAGUCGCGCUCACCGUGACAUGGAAAACAGGCUUUCAAAGUGAUGCUUCAACUGGGCAGAGGUACGCCGGAGACUGGCGAGGCUAACUACGCACAUUCUACGAGCAAAAUCGAACCAGGAUCCGGCAUGCAAAGGAUACUCAGCACAAUGGAAGUCAGAACGGCAGGUCCCCUUGUGACGAGUUUCCUGGACGGAAGGCGCUCUUCUCUCUGAUGCAGUUCCCAGCAAUCAGUGUCAACAGUGUCCAGUGCAACAGGUCAGAGUUGUGACGUGACGGCUGCACGUUUCACUCACCCACUCGAAGGACAAAGUCAUUGUAAGACUGAUAGUUAAUUGCAUCCAGGACAUCGAACAUCUCAAUGGCAAAAUCUGCUACUGUGCAUAGAUGUGAGGUGAUGGAAUUCUGGAAAACAUGAAACACACAACAUGCGUGCUGACCAAGCAGUCAAAAGCGGCACGACUUUGCUCUCGUGGCGCUAAGCAUGCGAAGCGACAUCUUUGAGGCUUCGCAGGCCCGUAAUCCCCCACAGCGCGGUGGACUAUUAAUACCAACGACGGCAUGAAAAAGAACUUUCAAGAAAAGUCAAGGGUACUUUGAGCCAGGUGCCUACCUUUGAGCCAGUUGUAGGAACGAGCCCCACGGCAGCCAUGUAAGUGCUGCCAAUUGUCUUGAUUUUCUCAAUAUCUCUGUAGCACUCUUUAUCCAUCAGCUAAAAAGAAAGACCGGGGAAUCAUCUUUAGCAGCACAAAGUAUUACUCUUACUCGGCAUUAUGCUCACACACAAAAACAAAAGUUUAAAAUACAACAAUAUGAGAAUUGUCUUCCCACAGAGUCUGGAAGAAUGUUUUCAAAAAUGGUCAAAUGGUUCUUGUGGCAGACCAAAAAGGAUUCAGGUUGAUGGUCUUUGCUCCCACAACUUGGUGACCCUCAGGGGCCCUUACUGGGUCCCUUUUUAUUUACUACUCAUAUAAAAUGCCCUGUGUCAAAAUAUAACUGAUACCAAAUUUCACCUUGUUAAAGUUAUACGGGAAAAGUGAUAUCUUGUUAGCCCGUGUUUGACAAUGGGCUCUUUUUCAACUACCCACCCGUCCGUCUGUCUAUCCACAUCUGUGAUCCAUCUGUCCCUCCAUUGACAGUUUUUAAAGUAAUGAAAAUGCACCUCUGCAAAGAUGAGAGAAUUCUUUCACCUCAUCAAAAUCAGCAAUGAUCUCAUUGAGCAGCCUGAGACAUUCGACGCCCAUGUUGUUUCCAUCCAGUUCGAUGUAGAAGUCAUUGAAGUUGGCAAUGGAAGCAAACAGUACUCCAACCUGAGCAUAGGACUGGUAAUACAGGUCCUGAUGGGGACAGGGUUCAGGAGAUUCUUAUUCUUACUGCAGUUGUUAUUAAGACCAGAAAAACAACAGAUGGCAAAUGCAGCUUCGACGUCAUUGAAGUCAUUUAAAUGUUUCAUCAGUGCUACGAGGGGGCCGCACUUUCACGACGGUGACCUCGCGACCAGCACAUUUGCCUCAUAGUUCUCGGCUUUGGAACUGAAAUCUUGUUUCUGGUGUUCCUGUGUGACAUUUUCGUGUACUUAUAUGGCCAAUCCCUCCAUCUGUGCACAUCCGAGCGUGUGUUCCCAGCAACCUUUUGUGCGUGUCAAAGAGGUGCGAAACUCUUCCGGCGGCCGAGCCUGCCUAAACACGUCGGCGGAUUCAAGAUUCAAGAUGCUCACCAUGUUCCUGGGGUUGGACAUGAGGAAGUGUUGAGCCACGUGUGCCGGCAGCAGGUUGAACAGGAUUCUCUUGUUGUCCAGUUUCACUUUCUCCAUGUCAUCUCUCUCCUCUUCUGCCUGGGCGGCGUCAACCGUCACGUGGGGCACAAACAAACAAAAAGGUGUCAAUCUUUGUCUCAUUUCAACUGAUCUUGGGUGGUGAUGACGUGUUCUUGUCACUAGGGGGAGAUAAUGAGUUGGUUUUCAUGUACUCGUACUGGUCUGAAAAUGCCAGCUCGGAACAUAGCCGCUUUAAUUUCCCACGUGCAGAAAUCAUGACAUCACAGCAUAAAGUAUCUUUCUACAUUUCAUGUUUUUCAGUAAUGUUUUAGUUUUCUGCAAUAACCAAGCCAAAAUAAAUUGAAAACAUUUCUUCAACUCUUAUAUAAAUAUCAAUGACAUUUUCAAGGGUAUUAAUAUUUUCACUCAGACAUUUCGCGUGUAAAAAAAGAUGUAUGUUCCAAACAUUAUAAAUGCACAUACCUGAGUUGCCCACAGGUAGUCAAGACGCAGCUUGAGGUCGAGCUGCCUUGAGUGGAGAGCCAGCGCACCAGAGAACAGCAAGACGGCCAACACGGGAUCAGAAGCUCGAGUGUGGAGAAAGCCACCGCUGAAAAACAGAGCACACGUUCCACCGGCACGGUAGGAUGGAUCCCACGCACGGAUCCGACCAGCACCCAAUGCACUUUGAGUCUUACCCGACAGCUUGCCGAUAGCCGCUGGUCUCCACCAUGACGGUGUAGGUGACAGACAGGAGGAGCAGCAGCAGAAUCUUGGGCAGUGACGACACUCUGAGGUAGGGGACUAUGGUGAGCGUAGCAGCCAGGCAGGACAAGAGCGUGUACGCCACGCUCGGACCUGCUCCAUUUGCGAUCGUGAUGUUGAGUGCUUCGACAGCAAACGCGUCGUCGGGAGAAUUGUUGGAGCUGACUUGAACGCGACCCCACGGAAUAAAGCCCAACUGUAAAAACCCAAGAGCAAAACGCUACUUGACAGAGACAACAGAAGAAUAAAUAUAAGGAAAAGCCACCUGAGAUGACAGGACUUACCAUGCUGGCCUGUGCGACCGAAUACGAGAGCAAAACAAGGAAGACGCACACAAGCGUCCGUAUCUGGAUGGUCAGGCAGCCCGGUUGGCACUGACGGACGGCAAAACAAAGGAAAAGGAACGAGACCUUCCUACCUGAAGACUGGUGAGGUGCAGGUACAUGACGCAGGCCACGUGAAAACAGACGCAGAACACCAGCAGAAGCAAAACCGGCAAGGCCCUGGCGGACAAACAGCAACGUGGCACAUGUGCAACAUGUCCAUUUUGAUUCCAAAUCCAACAAAGUAAGGAACCUACUGCGGGAUCAUUAAGAGAUAGAUGAGGCCAAAAAACGCCGCCAGGAUCAGAGAGACAACCACUGCGCCGAUGAAAUGAUCGUCACACAUCUGGUUAUACUGCGAAAAGAAAGAAAAGAAGCAGCCGUUCAACUUUUAACUCCACAUGCAACUAAAACAACUUUGUGACUUGUUCAAAGCUGGACAUUCCUUCUGAAAGGAACGAUUCAAAUGUUGCCAUGAUGACGCUCUCUCCUCAAAUAUCAAGUCGCUGCCCAAUUCAAUGUUGUGACAGAACUCAACGCACUUCUGCUAAAACAAGAAGUCUCUAUAUCUUGUGUUUGACAACUAUACGUUGCUUUUUGGGUGUGAAGAGUGGCUUUAAAUCACUGACACUUGGUAUGUUUUCAAUUUUGAGUCAUACGCACUAUUUACUCUGACACUAUAGCACCGUAUUGGACACAAGUACGGCAAGAAACCUGCUUUCGAAGAGUAACUUCUGGAAGGGGCGGCGUAUUCUACACAGGUGCAUGUUAUUCACGGGUGCUGCUGUGCGUUUGCACCGUGCAGGAAAAUCUGUCUCGUGUCCUUUUUAGCAAGGGCAUUCAAAGUGGGGCCAGGUUUUUUUCUUUAUUGAAGUUGUUUGAUAAGGUAAUCAGGACCGAUUAGUUCAGUAUAAUUAUCCAAUAUUGC